rnacentral:rRNA from 1 species
GACGAACGCUGGCGGCGUGCCUAAUACAUGCAAGUCGAGCGAAUCACUAGGAGCUUGCUCCUGGUGGUUAGCGGCGGACGGGUGAGUAACACGUGGGCAACCCGCCUGUAAGACUGGGAUAACACCGGGAAACCGGUGCUAAUACCGGAUAAUCCUUUUCCUCCCAUGAGGAAAAGCUGAAAGUCGGUUUCGGCUGACACUUACAGAUGGGCCCGCGGCGCAUUAGCUAGUUGGUGAGGUAACGGCUCACCAAGGCGACGAUGCGUAGCCGACCUGAGAGGGUGAUCGGCCACACUGGGACUGAGACACGGCCCAGACUCCUACGGGAGGCAGCAGUAGGGAAUCUUCCACAAUGGACGAAAGUCUGAUGGAGCAACGCCGCGUGAGCGAUGAAGGCCUUCGGGUCGUAAAGCUCUGUUGUUAGGGAAGAACAAGUACUGGAGUAACUGCCGGUACCUUGACGGUACCUAACCAGAAAGCCACGGCUAACUACGUGCCAGCAGCCGCGGUAAGAC